rnacentral:rRNA from 1 species
GAUGAACGCUGGCGGCGUGCCUAAUACAUGCAAGUCGAGCGAACAGACGAGGAGCUUGCUCCUCUGACGUUAGCGGCGGACGGGUGAGUAACACGUGGAUAACCUACCUAUAAGACUGGGAUAACUUCGGGAAACCGGAGCUAAUACCGGAUAAUAUAUUGAACCGCAUGGUUCAAUAGUGAAAGACGGUUUUGCUGUCACUUAUAGAUGGAUCCGCGCCGCAUUAGCUAGUUGGUAAGGUAACGGCUUACCAAGGCAACGAUGCGUAGCCGACCUGAGAGAGUGAUCGGCCACACUGGAACGGAGACACGGUCCAGACUCCUACGGGAGGCAGCAGUAGGGAAUCUGCCGCAAUGGGCGAAAGCCUGACGGAGCAACGCCGCGUGAGUGAUGAAGGUCUUCGGAGCGUAAAACUCUGUUAUUAGGGAAGAACAAAUGUGGAAGUAACUAUGCACGUCGUGACGGUACCUAAUCAGAAAGCCACGGCUAGCUACGUG